rnacentral:tRNA from 1 species
GCCUUAGUAGUAUAAUUAAUACACUGGUCUUGUAAACCAGAACCGGAGACUUAUAUCUCCCUAAGACA